GAUGAAGAACGCAGCGAAAUGCGAUAAGUAAUGUGAAUUGCAGAAUUCAGUGAACCAUCGAAUCUUUGAACGCACAUUGCGCCCGGCAGUAAUCUGCCGGGCAUGCCUGUCCGAGCGUCAUUUCUGCCCUCGAGCGAGUUCCAGCAUCUAGGUGCUGGUGCUCGCCCGGCGUUGGGGCACUACGGUAGAGCCCUGUGCUGUCCGUAGGCCCUGAAAUGAAGUGGCGGUCCUGCCGCGGCGCCCCCUGCGUAGUAUAACAGCUCGCUUCGGGACCCGGUGGAGGCCAGCCGUCAAACCUAUAUUCUCUAAGUUUGACCUCGGAUCAGGUAGGGUUACCCGCUGAACUUAAGCAUAUCAAUAAGCGGAGGA
rnacentral:misc_RNA from 1 species